rnacentral:rRNA from 1 species
ACCGUGAGGGAAAGUUGCAAAGAACUUUGAAGAGAGAGUUCAAGAGGGCGUGAAACCGCUGAGAAGGAAACGGAUAGAGUUGACGAAACACAGCGGCAUUCAUCCGACCUGUCCUGGCAACUGGCUGCCCGGUAUAGAUCGUUCUCCUCGGGGAAUGACGGUCUGGCUGUCAGCUUAGUCGGCUGGUUGGUGCUUUUGCCGUUGGUAUGCGCGGAGACGUUCGCUGUGGCGUGUCGACGUCGAUGUCAGAGGACCAGUGCCAAAUGGUACUGGAAACCUGACUCGGCUUAGGUAUGUUCGCGGUGAAACGGUAACCACAUACGCCGCUUGCUAGUUGCGUAGCUGCCUCUGCAUAGUUGGGUGCGUUGUUGGGCGAUCGCGUGCGAUUUGUCUACAGCUGUAUUCCGGCUUGUUUCUGGCUAGUUACGUUGGCGGUGUAUCUCCGUGUAAAAGUCAGCCACCUAUCCGACCCGUCUUGAAACACGGACCAAGGAGUUUAGCAUAUGCGCAAGUCAUUGGGUGGUAAACCUAAAGGCGUAAUGAAAGUAAAGACUGCUUCGAGCGGUUGAUAUGGGAUCUGUGCUUGCUUGCAGGCGCAGCGCACCAUAGCCCCGUUCUUGUUGCUUGCAAUAGGGCGGAGGUAGAGCGUAUACGCUGAGACCCGAAAGAUGGUGAACUAUGCCUGAGCAGGAUGAAGCCAGAGGAAACUCUGGUGGAAGUCCGAAGCGGUUCUGACGUGCAAAUCGAUCGUCUGACUUGGGUAUAGGGCGAA